AGAGUUUGAUCCUGGCUCCCCCUUNAANGGUGGCGGNAGGCCUAACACAUGCAAGUCGANCCCNUNANUCGGGAUUAGUGGCGGACGGGUGAGUAACACGUGGGAACGUGCCUUUUGGUUCGGAACAACUCAGGGAAACUUGAGCUAAUACCGGAUGUGCCCUUCGGGGGAAAGAUUUAUCGCCAUUAGAGCGGCCCGCGUCUGAUUAGCUUGUUGGUGAGGUAAAGGCUCACCAAGGCGACGAUCAGUAGCUGGUCUGAGAGGAUGAUCAGCCACAUUGGGACUGAGACACGGCCCAAACUCCUACGGGAGGCAGCAGUGGGGAAUCUUGCGCAAUGGGCGAAAGCCUGACGCAGCCAUGCCGCGUGAAUGAUGAAGGUCUUAGGAUUGUAAAAUUCUUUCACCGGGGACGAUAAUGACGGUACCCGGAGAAGAAGCCCCGGCUAACUUCGUGCCAGCAGCCGCGGUAAUACGAAGGGGGCUAGCGUUGCUCGGAAUUACUGGGCGUAAAGGGAGCGUAGGCGGACAGUUUAGUCAGAGGUGAAAGCCCAGGGCUCAACCUUGGAAUUGCCUUUGAUACUGACUGUCUUGAGUAUGGGAGAGGUUAGCGGAACUCCGAGUGUAGAGGUGAAAUUCGUAGAUAUUCGGAAGAACACCAGUGGCGAAGGCGGCUAACUGGCCCAUUACUGACGCUGAGGCUCGAAAGCGUGGGGAGCAAACAGGAUUAGAUACCCUGGUAGUCCACGCCGU
rnacentral:rRNA from 1 species